UACGUAGGCAGCGAGCGUUGUUCGGAGUUACUGGGCGUAAAGGGUGUGUAGGCGGUCUUCUAAGUUUGGUGUGAAAUCUCCCGGCUCAACUGGAGGGUGCGCCGAAAACUGGGAGGCUAGAGUGCGGGAUGGGAGAGUGGAAUUCCUGGUGUAGCGGUGAAAUGCGUAGAUAUCAGGAGGAACACCUGUGGUGUAGACGGCUCUCUGGACCGCAACUGACGCUGAGACACGAAAAGCGUGGGUAGCAAACAGG
rnacentral:rRNA from 1 species